GACGAACGCUGGCGGCGUGCUUAACACAUGCAAGUCGAACGGAAAGGCCCUGCUUUUGUGGGGUGCUCGAGUGGCGAACGGGUGAGUAACACGUGAGUAACCUGCCCUUGACUUUGGGAUAACUUCAGGAAACUGGGGCUAAUACCGGAUAGGAGCUCCUGCUGCAUGGUGGGGGUUGGAAAGUUUCGGCGGUUGGGGAUGGACUCGCGGCUUAUCAGCUUGUUGGUGGGGUAGUGGCUUACCAAGGCUUUGACGGGUAGCCGGCCUGAGAGGGUGACCGGCCACAUUGGGACUGCGAUACGGCCCAGACUCCUACGGGAGGCAGCAGUGGGGAAUAUUGCACAAUGGGCGGAAGCCUGAUGCAGCAACGCCGCGUGCGGGAUGACGGCCUUCGGGUUGUAAACCGCUUUCGACUGUGACGAAGCGUGAGUGACGGUAAUGGGUAAAGAAGCACCGGCUAACUACGUG
rnacentral:rRNA from 1 species